rnacentral:rRNA from 1 species
GACGAAGGAUGCAACCGUUAUCCGGAUUCAUUGGGUUUAAAGGGAGCGUAGGUGGACUGAUAAGUCAGUGGUGAAAUCUUUGGGCUUAACCCAAAAAUUGCCAUUGAUACUGUCGGUCUUGAGUAUAGUUGCCGUUGGCGGAAUAUGACAUGUAGUGGUGAAAUACAUAGAGAUGUCAUAGAACACCGAUUGCGAAGGCAGCUGACGAAACUAUAACUGACACUGAGGCUCGAAAGUGUGGGGAUCAAACAGG